CACCAAAGGAGCACUUCACAUGCAAACUAUCAGACUCAUGGGAAAAAGGACUACCGAUGUUAUUUGUGGCCAUUACUGUCAUAGCAACACUGGAAAGCCCCUUGAACCAAAGGUUAUGGAUUUCCUGCUAAAGGCUCAGCUUCAUUACCUUCUGGCAAGCUACAUGAGAAACGCACAAUGGAGUGCAGCAGGAUCUUCCACUGAUGCUCUUGACACAUUUAAUCCUGACAAAGAGUCAACAUUUUCCUCUUAACAAUCAGCUGCUUUCAUUAACAGGAAAAUGGAGUUAAGACUUUAGUUUAUAUAUGAAUGUUUGGUCAGUUCAUGUUGAAUAUGGAGGAAUAAAUUGUUUGGAAAGCUUCUGCUUCUGAGAAGGCAAUGAUAAUCAUGCAGAAGCAUAUAAAUUAGACAUUCAGUGUUCAACUAUAUGUCUAAUAGGGAAAAAAAGGAACAGUUAAAAAUAAAAGCCCAUCUGAAGGAUGAUGGGUCUUUUUAUUCAUGUAAAAGGGAAAACAGGUUUCAUAAUUCCUAUAGAAGUUGUUAUUAUAUUUACAUAAAGACUCAACCAAAGGAGCAGGUAGACACUGUAUUGUUACCAAUAAAAAAAUACUGUUAAGUCCUGUCAGUCGCAUUAUCAGGCAUACAUGUAUUUUAAAACCCUUUUAUCUUAUACUGUGUAACUGAGUCAGAGGUGGUAGUCUGCAGUACUGGGGCCCCACAGGAUACUCUCCUGUCAUUAGUUCUUUUCACCCUUUACACCACUGACUUCACUUACAACAAGGACAGCUGUCCUCUCCAGAUGUUCUCUGAUGACUCAGCCAUUGUGGGCUGUGUGUCUAAGGAGAACGCGCUAGAGUACCGGCCAGUCAUCAAGGACUGUGUAGACCGGUGUGAAGGCAAGCACAGGUGCUUGAACACCUGUAAGACGAAGGAGAUGGUGAUUGACUUCAGGAGAAGGACACCAUCUCACUCACCAGUAAACCUCCCACCAGAGGACAUUGAGACAGUUAUCAGUUUGAAUUACCUGGGAGUUUACUUCAACAAUAAACUGGACUGGUUCCAUAACCCCAACGUCCUGUAAAAGAAGGGCCAGAGUCGCCUCCAUCUUUUGAGGAGACUGAGGUCCUUCAGAGUGUGCAAGCCUUUGCUCAGGACUUUUUAUGACUAUGUGGUAACCUCUGCCAUCCUCUCCGUUGUCAUUUGCUGGGCCCCAGGCAGCACAGAGCGGGACAGGAAGAGACGGAACAAGCUGGUUAGGAGGGCCAGCUCUGUCCUGGGCUGCCCUCUUGACUGAGGAGGUGGUGGGUGAGAGCAGGAUGUUAGCCAAGCUCACAUCCAUCAUGGACAUAAUUUCUCACCCACUGCACCAGACUGUAGAGGAGCUCCUUCAGUGGCCGACAGACACCUUCAGCUACCCCAGGUCCUUCAUCCCCACUGCUGUCAGACUGUUUAAUUCUACUGUAUAAUGACUUGUGCAAUAACCUCUGUAUCUGUGAAUAUCUGCUAUCAUUGUCACUUUAACACAAUAAUCUCCACCUUUUUACUAUUUACUGUACAUAGGUUAUUUUAUUUUGUUAUUACUACUUGUUAUUUGCACAUUUACCCUGUUCUUCUUUGAUUGCAAAUUUUUUCAUCACCAUCUGCACCCUACUUGUGUGUUAUUAAGAGCUGCUAUAACAAGUUCAUUUCACCAUUGUGAGAUCAAUAAAGUCUAUCUUAUAUUC